UAUGCUAGAAAAUUAACCGAAUCUGUCUUUUUUUAUGUUUCAAUAAUGACGGUGGUUAUUGUGCAAUAUGGCGACAAAAUUACUGCGGAGCAUCCCAGCUGCCUGCUAGGAGCCCAACGUGUCAACGUGUCGUGUGUUAUUGUGAGUUCGGAGUGUUGGUGCUCGUGCAUCUACGUGGCUUCACGUUCGCGAAAGCCACUGUACUGCGCGCUAUAGCCAUGUGCGCAUCGUCACGCACGUUGAAUGGAAACCCGGUGAGACCGAUCCAUUUUUGCUUUAUGUUGACGUUAUUUGUUUUGCGACAUUUUUAAACUUGAGAGGCAGUCUGUCUCGCUGAUUAUUGUUGGUUAUGAACUGCUUGGGUUCAGGGAGCAUUCAUUGCCACAAGCUUCGUUAUAAAGCUGCUGUUAGGUUUGUUUUGAUCCGAAUGUGUCCAGGAGCUGACAUAAUGUUGACCUGACCUUCAUGAAUUGCAUGGUUGGGAAAAUCGACAAUCAGUGAAAUUAGAUUUAUGCCAUGAUAGUCAUAUUGUCAUCGUUGUUAUGAAAAUGUUGUGAUAAAAUUAACCGAUUUCCGAUUUCUUUUGCAUGUGAUAAUCCCGUGAGCCUCUCCUGCUUCGAGUGAAAGGAGUCUAGUCUGCUAGUUCGUCGCUGUGGUGUCCGCGAGCGCGACGCCUGGAUUCUACUGCGCGCCGGAUUUCAGCAUGAACAUACACGAGGCACUAUGCACAGAGAUGUUAAGAGACGCCUGAAUGAUAAACAUGAUAACAUCUAAGGUGAACCGAGCCUGGAGAACAGGACGAAGUUUACUAGUCGAGCGGUGGGCGGGUGCGCUGCAGUUGCUAUUUGGAGCGUCGUCCUCCCCCGGAUUCGUCGUGAAGGCCGUGUGAGUUGCGGCAGGCCAGGACAUCGCGUAUCAUCGCACAAGGUGAAAGCAUUCUAUUUCAUUGAAAAUGUUUAAAUUGACCAGACAAACUUCACGAUAACUAAUAAUUUGUUACUUGUAUUCUGUCACUUGUAAGUGUUUUAGAUUAUUAUCAAUGCUUUCUUAUUAUUCUUUAUUGUACACAAAAUAAAAUUUGAUUCUAAUUAAAAAUCAAUUCGCACUUGAUAGGCCGGAAAAUCAAAGUAUCACUGAUGAAAUUGAGAUGGAACGAAGUAGUUAUGAUAUUGAGGAGUGUUUGAGUUUGCAUGAUGAUCGGACCGUACCAGAGGCUGUCGUGUAGCCGUAGCUCAGUAGAAAUCGGCGUCUGCUCAGUGAGUAGUCCGUGAGUACGCGGUAAGCAGUCAGCUCUGGCGGAGGUCGGGUUUCAGUGGAAACCAAUGAGUCCAGGGUAGACUCGGCGUUCCUAUGUGAGGUUCGCAGUAAAGAGUAAAGAGUAACUGGAGGUUACUGGGCUAAGUGUAGCCAUGGUCACAUGUAGAGCUUAAAUGUUUUGUUUUAAUUUAUCAGUUUAGAGUUUAUUGUCUCUUGUAAGAGGCAGUGAUCGGUUUUACUUUGAGUUUCCUAAUUUUGAUUCUGAAUUAUUGUAAUGAAACGAUUAUUUUCUUUCUUUUCAUUGAUCAUUUCCCAAUUAAAUGUAGAGUUUGAUUUGUUGCUUGUGAGAGUUUAGUACUCGGUUGCUCUGGGUAUAGCUUUUGAGAACUAGUUGUCACCUAGAUUGUUUAUUAAAGACCUAAUUGAGGCCAUUUGAAGUUUGUUUCAUUUCCUU